UACGUAGGGUGCGAGCGUUGUCCGGAAUUAUUGGGCGUAAAGAGCUCGUAGGCGGUUUGUCGCGUCUGCUGUGAAAACCUAAGGCUCAACCUUGGACUUGCAGUGGGUACGGGCAGACUAGAGUGCGGUAGGGGUGACUGGAAUUCCUGGUGUAGCGGUGGAAUGCGCAGAUAUCAGGAGGAACACCGAUGGCGAAGGCAGGUCACUGGGCCGCAACUGACGCUGAGGAGCGAAAGCAUGGGGAGCGAACAGG
rnacentral:rRNA from 1 species